rnacentral:tRNA from 1 species
GGGGCUGUAGCUCAGUGGCAGAGUGCUUGCCUAGCAUGCAUGAGGCCCUGGGUUUGAUCCUUAGCACCA